GAUGAACGCUGGCGGCGUGCCUAAUACAUGCAAGUCGAGCGAACAGAUGAGGAGCUUGCUCCUCUGACGUUAGCGGCGGACGGGUGAGUAACACGUGGAUAACCUACCUAUAAGACUGGGAUAACUUCGGGAAACCGGAGCUAAUACCGGAUAAUAUAUUGAACCGCAUGGUUCAAUAGUGAAAGACGGUUUUGCUGUCACUUAUAGAUGGAUCCGCGCCGCAUUAGCUAGUUGGUAAGGUAACGGCUUACCAAGGCAACGAUGCGUAGCCGACCUGAGAGGGUGAUCGGCCACACUGGAACUGAGACACGGUCCAGACUCCUACGGGAGGCAGCAGUAGGGAAUCUUCCGCAAUGGGCGAAAGCCUGACGGAGCAACGCCGCGUGAGUGAUGAAGGUCUUCGAAUCGUAAAACUCUGUUAUUAGGGAAGAACAAAUGUGUAAGUAACUAUGCACGUCUUGACGGUACCUAAUCAGAAAGCCACGGCGAACUACGU
rnacentral:rRNA from 1 species